rnacentral:rRNA from 1 species
CCACAUUGGAACUGAGACACGGUCCAAACUCCUACGGGAGGCAGCAGUGAGGAAUAUUGGUCAAUGGACGAGAGUCUGAACCAGCCAAGUAGCGUGAAGGAUGACUGCCCUAUGGGUUGUAAACUUCUUUUAUAUGGGAAUAAAGUGAGCCACGUGUGGCUUUUUGUAUGUACCAUACGAAUAAGGAUCGGCUAACUCCGUGCCAGCAGCCGCGGUAAUACGGAGGAUCCGAGCGUUAUCCGGAUUUAUCGGGUUUAAAGGGAGCGUAGGCGGAUUAUUAAGUCAGUUGUGAAAGUUUGCGGCUCAACCGUAAAAUUGCAGUUGAUACUGGUAGUCUUGAGUGCAGCAGAGGUAGGCGGAAUUCGUGGUGUAGCGGUGAAAUGCUUAGAUAUCACGAAGAACUCCGAUUGCGAAGGCAGCUUACUGGACUGUAACUGACGCUGAUGCUCGAAAGUGUGGGUA